CGCGGCCUAUCAGCUUGUUGGUGGGGUAAUGGCCUACCAAGGCGGCGACGGGUAUCCGGCCUGAGAGGGUGUACGGACACAUUGGGACUGAGAUACGGCCCAGACUCCUACGGGAGGCAGCAGUGGGGAAUAUUGCACAAUGGGCGCAAGCCUGAUGCAGCGACGCCGCGUGGGGGAUGAAGGCCUUCGGGUUGUAAACUCCUUUCGCUAUCGACGAAGCCACUUUGUGGUGACGGUAGGUAGAUAAGAAGCACCGGCUAACUACGUGCCAGCAGCCGCGGUAAUACGUAGGGUGCGAGCGUUGUCCGGAAUUACUGGGCGUAAAGAGCUCGUAGGUGGUUUGUCGCGUCGUCUGUGAAAUCCCGGGGCUUAACUUCGGGCGUGCAGGCGAUACGGGCAUAACUUGAGUGCUGUAGGGGAGACUGGAAUUCCUGGUGUAGCGGUGAAAUGCGCAGAUAUCAGGAGGAACACCGAUGGCGAAGGCAGGUCUCUGGGCAGUUACUGACGCUGAGGAGCGAAAGCAUGGGUAGCGAACAGGAUUAGAUACCCUGGUAGUCCAUGCCGUAAACGGUGGGCGCUAGGUGUAGGGGGCUUCCACGUCUUCUGUGCCGUAGCUAACGCAUUAAGCGCCCCGCCUGGGGAGUACGG
rnacentral:rRNA from 1 species